UUAAAAUAAAACCAGAAAACCUGGGGCAUGGGAAGGCUGCAGGGUUUGCCACUCAGCACUAUUUGGGAAACUCUUUCUCACUCUUUAUCUUACCAACAUCAAAUAGAACGCUUUUUCAAUUUGAUGUAAAUAUCAAGCACUACUGGUCAAAACUCCCUGUAAAUAUCCUCUGGGUAGAAAUGCUGGGAAAAUCUGAGUGUUGAAGAAUAUAGCUUUCAACUCCAUAGCCAUUUCUUCCUAAUCUGUACUCAAGUGACACGUAACGUUCUACCACGGAGUGGAUGCCUUUCAGGUGGUCAGAGUCUGGAAUCUCUAUGGGCUUCUAGAACCAGCCUUUGUUGAGGUGGGUUGUUCGCCAGUGUGCCAGCUUGAGAAAGAACAAGCAAAGGCACACGUGCUACAAUUCUAUCUACAAAGACAUGCCCAUUUCAAGGCAUAGGGGAUAUUUAAGGUGCAGCUUACACGAUGAACACAGCACCAUUCAGGAAGACAGACCCAUUAGGAAGAGAAAAUGAGACAAGAAAAGGCACGAGAGACCGAGUUUGGCAUUUCUGAGGCCUGAAUAGACUCUUCGGAGAGAAAUUUCGAAUUUUCUGGCAACAGUGUGCCUUCCUUCCUCUAGCACCAGGCCUGCUGGCCACUUAAGGCUCCACAGAAUCAUUUGGUCUGGCCUCAUCUGAAGGCAACUUCAGUCCUACAGAAAACAAGUUAAAGUAAACCUGGAGAGCUAUCUCAAAGGCAUUAAAGUUGCUAAAGGAUAUCAUGGGACAGUUACACUAUUGGACUCUGACCUUCUCAAGGAUACCGCCCGACUCAAUUUUAUACACAUAACGUCUGGCUACAGAAUUGAUACAGGUAUAGAAUGAGAGAGAGGACAGUCAGUUGCUUUAGUCUUAGUGAUGGUGGGAGCCACAGUUUUUCUGCAGCAGCUGGUAAAGCCCCUCUCCUUUGCCUAAAGCCUCUCUGGGUCGCUGCCCAUC